GCACAGUUGCAGACUUCACAGAGGAAGUGUGACACACACUGGUUAAGAAACCCUGGACUAAAUACAGCUAUGGUCUGAAACUACAGGCUAAAGAAUCUUUGCUAAUAUAUUGAAAAAAAAUGUGUACAUGUUACCAAAAUAUAUGAACUAUCUGUCCUUUUGCUUUCUCUUGCUUAGCAUCUCUGAAGCACUGAAUACCUAUUAGUCACAGGGAAACAUCUGUAAGAUGUAGCAAGCGGUGUCACCUUCCCUGUGUGGAUCACAAGGUUCUUGGCAAUCGCUUUCGUACCAGACCACCCUAGAUCCUGAACAAGAUCUUCCUAUUUCAUUAGAAGUUUGGGGUCUUUAACUUCCUAUGAAAAAAAUCUGGCUGCCGUGCCUGCAUAAUAAGCUUGGAGAGUCACUCCAACCUCAGAGUCCUUCCCUGCAAGAAAAGCAUUCCAAAUAGAAAGAAGACUGUUGUACGGUAGUGCACCGUUUCAAAUGCACACCAGCAUCGGGAGGAGUAAGAAUUCUCGGACCUUGCGGAACAAUUGGCAACAGUUGGCACCGGUUCUAAAGGCCUAGUGUGAUUGUCUUAAAAAUCAGCUCAAAGGUGUCCCUGUCCCUCGACCAGUCUGGAUGAUCUCAUUGACCAGCCACACUGAAUAAUGUAACAACCGCCAUUGGCUUUCAAGGUAGCGUUGCCACGAUCAUCAGUACAGUUGGAAAAAUCCGAACAGGAUGCUAGAGGGCUGAAUGCCCAGGACAACAUCGCGGUUCUCUGUUACUAUCAAACAUGCCUCCAGCUUUUAGAAUCCUUUAUGAGAAAGGCGAUUGCACAAAGACCAAAGAUUGGCUUUCUUUAACACUGCAAAUCAAAACCGAGUUAAGCUCUCUCUCUCUCCAGGGAUACCCAAUAUUUUACGAUUCCACUAAGUCCACAAAGUCAUGCGAUGAUUUGACACAUCAUUUGCAAGGCGUGUUUUUGUUUUAUUUACUCAUUCUUCCUGUGUCUCAUUUUAAAAUGUCAUUUCCCAAAUGGGGGACGGGUUAUUAAAUAACUUAAACUUAAGCAAAAACCAAAUCAACCAAACCAAACCAAACCAAACCAAACCAAACCAAAAACAAACGAAAAACCCA